UCUCUCCUUCCCCGGCAUGCCCUGCCCCAAAUAACGGCCUAGCCCCGUCACGUGGUCGCCCGCCGGGUGAAUGGGGGAGGCGAGACUAGGCUCGGUGUGAGACGAGCUGGCAGGGAGCUGCCGAAGCCGUGGGCUGAGCCGAUGGGCCGGGCGUGUUGAGCAGGUGUCUUCGUGUGCCAGGGUACAUCUAGCAGUUCUCCCUUUUUGUGUGCAACUGCCCAACCGUCGAUGCAGAUUCCACACACCAGAUGCACUCCUGCCUGGAGGAAACAGGAAGUAUUGGAUCUCCUGGGCCUGUGGGAAGAAGUGGCUGUGCAAGCACAGCUAGAGAUCAGUCAUACAAACAGGGAUAUCUAUGAGCAGAUUGCACAGGGAAUGCAGGAAAAGGAGUACAACAAGGAUCAGCAGCAGUGUUGCAUGAAAGCGAAAGAACUUUACCAGGGAUACCACAAGGCCAGGGAAGCUAACAAUAGAUCUGGUGCUGCCCUGUAGAUCUACUGCUUUUACAGCAAACUGCAUGUCAUGCUUGGCAGAGACCCCACCAGCAUCCCAUGAACACCUCUGGAUACCUUGGAGGAGCCUGAGACAGAGAUCCUUGCCAAGAACUGUGAGGAGAAGGAGGGAGGGGGAAGACAUGAGCAGGGACUCCAGCCAUGCCAUGAGCUAGGGUCCGUUUGCAACUCCACCACAGUCUAGCCUGUCCCGAGCAUGGAUGAGCCUGAUGAAGGAGAAUUGAACUCUGCAGCUUCUGACACGGAGGGCGUGAGGGGGGCACCUGACAAAAAUGAGGAGAAGUAAAAAGAGGACUGGGGAGCACAUGUUCUGCAAAAUCCUGCAAGCCAGUGCUGUAUCGGACUGUGAACAAAGGCCAGUGUAACCGAUAGUAUGGAGAAGGACAGAGAGGACAGGAAAAAGGCCAGGAGUCCCAGCUAGAUAAGGAGAGGGAAAUGCAGACAGACAAAAUGGAUCUUCUCAGGCAGCAAACCUAAAUGUUACAGACCUUUGUUGACCUACAGGUCCAAAAAUCUACAAUUCUCUGGUCCAUGGUCGCUACUCCCUAGACCCGUCAACAUACCAGAUGGCAACACAGUGCACAUAAGUAGCCCUGCUACUCCAUGUUUGGGGGACAGCAAGGAAAGCCACUGCUUCACAUACACCAACUGUGGUUCUCACAGAUCAGUGUAUGUGUAGCCACAACGGACUACAUUUGUGCCCUCAGAUAGACAUAAAUGUUUCCUCCCUUUCUAGUUUAAAUUUUUUUAAAAUUUUCACCCAGCUAAUUUAUGUUAAAAAUUUGUAUAACAUUGCCUGUGGGGUUUUUUGCACAUUGAUUUUCUGCACUGUUUUCUCCCACUCAAUAAAGAUAAUUUGAUCUUCCAAAACCAGAACUUUAUUAGUUCACAAAGAAUUUUGCAGAAUUCAUAGCAGUACUCAAAGCACCACAUAGUUCAUAGUUUCAGAAAAUUCCCAGUCAUAUUUAUAAAUGGACAGCAAACACAACAGUUCUGAGAAGCAUCCAAACCUACCGGCCCAGAGCAUACUCAAACACAGAACCAUACUGUGGCUUACUAUUAAAGUGCUCUUUCAAAGCGUCCCUCAACUGCAUAGCUCCAUGUUAAGCUCUUGUAAUUGCCCUUGUGUCUGGUUGUUUAAAGUCAGCAGAGAACUGCUCCACCUCUGCUGUCCACCUUUGUGGUAGCUUUUCCCACUAUGCCUCACAGAUAUUAUGCAGGACACAAAAUGCAGUUAUAACUAGGCCCUACCAAAUUUAUGGUCCAUUUUGGUCAAUUUCAUGGUCAGAGGGUU